CUGCUGCCUUCCGUAGGAGUUUGGGCCGUGUCUCAGUCCCAAUGUGGCCGUUCACCCUCUCAGGCCGGCUACUGAUCGUUGCCUUGGUAGGCCAUUACCCCACCAACUAGCUAAUCAGACGCGGAACCAUCGUAUACCACCAGAGCUUUUCACACCGCUUCAUGCGAAGCUGUGCGCUUAUGCGGUAUUAGCACCUAUUUCUAAGUGUUAUCCCCCAGUAUACGGCAGGUUUUCCACGCGUUACUCACCCGUCCG
rnacentral:rRNA from 1 species